AACAUGUCUUAUAGAAAAUAAUUUUAAGUCUAAUCUGCUCCAUGAAAUUAAUAUUUAAAUAGCUGCAGUAUUUUGACUGUACAAAGGUAGCAUAAUCAAUAGUUUUUUAAUUAAAAGCUGGAAUGAAUGAUUUGAUAAGGUGAUUAUUGUCUCAAGUUUAAUAAAAUUAGAAUUUUUUUGUUAGUUAAAAAACUUACAUAAAUUAAAAAGACAAGAAGACCCUAUAGAUUUUUAUAUUUUAAAAUAAUUUGGAAAAAAAUUAAUUUAUUUAAAAGAUAUUAGGUUGGGGAAAUUAUUAAAUUAAUAAAAUUUUAAUAUGGAGUGAUGACAAUAAUUAUUGGUUAAUUGAUCUUAUUAUAUAAAUUAAGAGAGUAAAAUACCUUAGGGAUAACAGCGUAAUUUUUUUGGAAAGAUCAAAUUGAUAAAAAAGAUUGCGACCUCGAUGUUGAAUUAAGAUAAAAUUUUAAAGUAGAAAUUAAAAAUUUUUAGUCUGUUCGACUAUUAAAAUCUUACAUGAUCU
rnacentral:rRNA from 1 species